AGAAAAAGGAAGAUGCUUCCUCAAGAUCUCAAAAGCUCGGAUUCACACUCCUCAUCCUCCCAGAGAAGAGUGAGGAAGUCUUUCUCUCCCUGGAUGAAUCUCUUGGAUUCAUUUGAGAUGUCCUUCCCACACUUCUCAAGGUUUUUGGUAGUGUUUGCACAGAAAGCUGCCGUGGAUGCACCCUCUCUGAACUGGUGGCGGGCCUGUCCUGCCUGAGGGUGCUAUGCCCUGCACACUUUGCCUUGGAGAGCUCUGCAGCCCACAGCUCAGGCCCCCAUGCCAAUGCCACAUUCUGACUUCUGUGCGGAAGCCAGCCCCUCCAGAAGGCUAUGUAUUUAAAGUUUUCCAUCCCAGAAGAACGGCGGCUAGAUGAAGAUGCAUUUCGUCAACCCUGCAAGAAACAAAUAGCAAAACAAAACCCUGGCG